AUCGAGCUUUCGUGUGCCCGUUGGAGCGGCGUGUUUUCGUCACGACGUUCACAUUUUGCUAAACGAAUGCGUUGACGAAGUCGGUUCGGCGAUUCGUCGAGCCAUUAUAAAGUUAUUAAAGAAACAGACGUUUAGGCUUCGUUUCCGUCUGGAGGGCCGAAGCGAUGUCGUAAAAUCAUGGAAAUGGAUUUGGAGCACCGUGGCACUUAACCGAAGACCUAUAAUUUUCGGUGCCGCGAUUCGACGCACAGUUGGUGAGUAUUAGUAAAGUCGGGCCGAACCGGGUUACGGGAGUCGCGGGAGGCCGAUUGCAGGUGUCGACAAGCAAUCGGAAAGCAACUUGAGGUUCACACAUAAGCGCGCGGCGGCGUGAGGUGAGGGCGUAGCUCUGUAGUUAACGCCCUACCACCGAGACCAGAGAUAGCGGUACCCUGAGUCGGCCUUACUUAGGGAUGCAAGAAAAUGAAAAGAAUCAAGUUGUAAUAAUAAUGUUAAAGCAUGAUUGUAUUUGGA